ACACUCCUGCGGGAGGCAGCAGUGGGGAAUUUUGGACAAUGGGCGAAAGCCUGAUCCAGCAAUGCCGCGUGAGUGAAGAAGGCCUUCGGGUUGUAAAGCUCUUUUGUCAGGGAAGAAACGGUGAAAGCUAAUAUCUUUUGCUAAUGACGGUACCUGAAGAAUAAGCACCGGCUAACUACGUGCCAGCAGCCGCGGUAAUACGUAGGGUGCAAGCGUUAAUCGGAAUUACUGGGCGUAAAGCGUGCGCAGGCGGUUUUGUAAGUCUGAUGUGAAAUCCCCGGGCUCAACCUGGGAAUUGCAUUGGAGACUGCAAGGCUAGAAUCUGGCAGAGGGGGGUAGAAUUCCACGUGUAGCAGUGAAAUGCGUAGAUAUGUGGAGGAACACUGAUGGCGAAGGCAGCCCCCUGGGUCAAGAUUGACGCUCAUGCACGAAAGCGUGGGGAGCAAACAGGAUUAGAAACCCUUGUAGUCCCAUGA
rnacentral:rRNA from 1 species